UACUCCACUAUACUUGUUCUUCUUUCCAUGAAGUCUGCCACAGUUUCGUGAUUGCAAUCCACGGAUUCUUUUCCUAGAAAAUAAUGUGGUUCACAUUGUGAUGAAGCUAGUGCUUUUCGGGACCAAGAAUCAGGGGCCUGAGUCAGUGGGUGCAAGUUGGAGGACGAAAAUUUGUUGCGUGCCUUUUUUAUUGGAACCCUCAAAAGGAGACCUUUUUCAAGUGCUUCUUACAGUUUUUUUAGUAGGAAACGUUGAAUAAUGCCGAUUUAAAACACAGUGAAUGGACGUCUCCAAAUAUCAACAAGUUGGAGUGAGGACAGAAGUGGUUGAACUGCCAGUGUUGAAUAUUGUGGCGAAGAAUGAGGUUCGAUUGAUUUAUAUGACGUGAAUGAAGCGUUUGAAUGUCACUUUUAGAGGUUUAGGCGAAACCGAACCGGCUCAUGAUGAUUUGGUACACAGGGUUGUCUGUAACGCUCGUAGUCAGCUUUAAUCUUGUUGAAAACUAAUUCGAAGUCCGUUCAUGCUCUUCUAUAACCAAGCGCUUCAAGGUUUAGGCA